CUCUUUCCAUUUCUCUCACUUAUUUUUGUUUUUCUUACGAGUUCUGAAAAAAGAAGAAGAAAAAAACGAAGCUUCCUCCUCUCAUGGCCUCUCUCGCGGACAACAGCAUAACAACAACUUGUUAUCUCUCUCACUCUCUUGGUUUCUCACUCAACUCACGAUUUUCUCUCUCGACGAAGACAACUUCCUCUCGGUUUCUCUUUUUUGCGAACAAUCUUAACAAACAAAAGAAAUUCGCAGGUACUACAAUUAACAGCAGAACUGAGAUCGAAGGUGGAAAUGACUUAACUGCAGCGAUGAGGUGUUCGCCGGAUUUUGUGUUUGAGGUUCAAAGCAACAACAAUAUUGAGACUGAGAGUGGAGAUGACUUACCUACGGCGAGGAGAUUUUCGCCGGAUUAUUGUUGAAGGCUUUUGAUGAAGGUGAUGCCAUAACACCUCUCUUUGAACUUGCUUCAAGACUUGAAGAUGGACUUCAAGUUGGAACUCUCCACACCAAGGUAUGAAGAAUUUCUUCUUCACUCUCUUUCAAGAAACUUUCUAACUAGAAACUCUUAUUUUUUCCAAGUAAUUUUCUUUGGUUUGAAGAAUUUCUCCUUCUUACAAAGAAACAUGGAAACUAUAAGAGAAGAGAAAGAAGUGAGAAAGCUAGUAGUAUAGUAACUUUGGUGUGAUUUGCAAUGAAGAGAACACUUCUAUUUAUAGGAAAAGCUUAGGAUGUGUUUGGCAUAAAAAUAAACUUGAUUGGCAAGUUUCAAUCAUUGCAAGAUAAGAAAAAGAAUAAGAAUAUUCUUUAUGUCAUUAUGCAAAGAUAUUUCUUAUGAUAUGAAUCAUGCAAGUGGGCAAGAAAAUCUCUCUUUGAUUCUUUUUUUUUUCUUGAAUUAUCCCUUUGCUAAAUACACCCCUUUUUGUCUUGAUUUGGGCUUUUGAAUACUUUGUUGAACUUUUGCUAAUCUCACCCCUUUCUGUUUUCUUUUUCAUGUUGCAUGAGGACUUUGAAGAAAGCAUGAAGAAGCUUGAACUUGAAGGAUGGAGAUUUGAAGAUUGUAGAAUUCAAGAAAGUCUUUGAAGCUUUAUUUUUCUUUUCCUUGUAAUUCCAACUUUGUCUGAAUGGAACUUUGAAAUGAUGUAAUUCUUGAAUUUUGGAUAAAGUCCCUUUUGUAAUUCAUUUGAAAAUUGGAACUUUUUUUCAUGUAAAGAACUCCAUUUGUAAAUGCUUG